rnacentral:rRNA from 1 species
GAUGAACGCUGGCGGCAGGCUUAACACAUGCAAGUCGAACGCAUCCUUCGGGGUGAGUGGCAGACGGGUGAGUAACGCGUGGGAACGUGCCCUUCAGUUCGGGAUAACCCAGGGAAACUUGGGCUAAUACCGGAUACGUGCGAGAGCAGAAAGAUUUAUCGCUGAAGGAUCGGCCCGCGUCUGAUUAGCUAGUUGGUGGGGUAAUGGCCCACCAAGGCGACGAUCAGCAGCUGGUCUGAGAGGAUGAUCAGCCACAUUGGGACUGAGACACGGCCCAAACUCCUACGGGAGGCAGCAGUGGGGAAUAUUGGACAAUGGGCGCAAGCCUGCUCCAGCCAUGCCGCGUGAGUGAUGAAGGCCUUAGGGUUGUAAAGCUCCUUCGUCCGGGACGAUAAUGACGGUACCGGAAGAAGAAGCCCCGGCUAACUUCGUGCCAGCCGCCGCGGUAA